rnacentral:SRP_RNA from 1 species
CUGUGCUAGGUGGGGAGCUAGCGGUGCCCUGUACCUGCAAUCCGCUAUAGCAGGACUGAACGCUGUUCUAGGCUUUAUUUAUGGAAGGUCUGCCUUCGAUAAGCGAUGUUGAUACCAAGGUCUUGUGCAAUCGUGCACUGCGAACCAUGUCAGAGCUUGACCGCAGCAGCAUUAAACAGACCGCUCGGUGUGCCACGAGGUAGCUUUGGAGGAGUUGGCUGUCGUUGUUCCGCUUCGGUAAAUACUGUCAAAAACAGAUGCACAG